GACGAACGCUGGCGGCGUGCCUAAUACAUGCAAGUAGAACGCUGAAGGAGGAGCUUGCUCUUCUGGCUGAGUUGCGAACGGGUGAGUAACGCGUAGGUAACCUGCCUGGUAGCGGGGGAUAACUAUUGGAAACGAUAGCUAAUACCGCAUAACAGUAGAUGUUGCAUGACAUUUACUUAAAAGUUGCAAUUGCCUCACUACCAGAUGGACCUGCGUUGUAUUAGCUAGUUGGUGGGGUAACGGCCCAACAAGGCGGCGAUACAUAGGCGGCCCGAGAGGGGGGACGGGCACACUGGGAACGGGGAACCGCCCAGACUUCUUACGGAGGGAGCCAUAGGGGAAUUUUGGAAAAGGGGGGAAGUCUGGCCGAAGAACGCCGGGGGAGGGGAGGAAGGUCUCGGAGCGGAAAAGUCUGUUGUUUGGGAAGGAAGAGUGUGAGGGUAGAAAGUUCACACUGUGACGGUAUCUAACCAGAAAGGAACGGCUAACUACGUG
rnacentral:rRNA from 1 species